rnacentral:pre_miRNA from 1 species
AUAUUACUCCCUCCGUCCGGAAAUACUUGUCGAAGGAAUGGAUGUAUCUAGACGUAUUUUAGUUCUAGAUACAUCCAUUUUUAUGCAUUUCUCCGACAAGUAUUUCCGGACGGAGGGAGUACGUA